UACAGAGGUGGCAAGCGUUGUUCGGAAUUACUGGGCGUAAAGGGCGCGUAGGCGGUGUGUCAAGUCAGGCGUGAAAGCCCCGGGCUCAACCUGGGAACAGCGCUUGAGACUGGCACGCUCGAGUUCGGGAGAGGAUGGUGGAAUUCCCAGUGUAGAGGUGAAAUUCGUAGAUAUUCGGAAGAACACCAGUGGCGAAGGCGGCUCACUGGCCUGUUACCGACGCUCAGGCGCGACAGCGUGGGGAGCAAACAGG
rnacentral:rRNA from 1 species